GCGGCGGGGGCGCCGCCGGGGCCCGUGGGCGGCGGAGGCGGCCAGCCCGGAGGCGGCCGCGGCCCUGGGAAGGGACGGGGAGGUGGCGCCAGGCGACCGUUACGGCGGCGCGUGCGGAGCCGAGGAGGUGUUAUCUACCUGGAAGCUUCUGGGCGAACUGGAGGAAGCUGUGCAGGCGCAGUUACUUGGUGCUGAAGCAGUAAUACAUCACUCUAAGAAUCGCUGCCUUUGGACACUACUCUGA
rnacentral:lncRNA from 1 species